rnacentral:lncRNA from 1 species
CACGUCAAAUAUAAUGUGUUUUGACAAGAAUAAUACCAACCAUACUGUAUGUUAAAAAGCAAUAAAUUGAAGUAUUAAACAUAUGAUUCAUAAGGAAAGGUUGUAUCUCCUUUUAUAAUAAUUUAUUAAUUGUGUAAUUUUACAUGCUAUAUGUGGGAAUUGUAAAAUUACAUUUAAUCAUAUAUUCAAUAGAAUCAGAUUUAAUGUAUUUUUUCACAUUACCAUACAUUUUAAGAUUUACAAAAGGUCAGUAAGAUAUGUUAGUUAUUUGUUCUUUUAUUGUGAUCCCUAUAUUUCUAGUGCCAAAGAAUUGUUUUCGGUUAAUUUUACUUCAAUGAUAUGUUCAUUUUAAGGUACUGGUGUAAUUUUUCAAGAAAUUUCUCAAAUUAAAAAAAUUAUAUAAAUAAUGUUUCUUUGAUCUUUGUCGAUCCCUAACUGGGACCAGUUUUUUUCAGUUCAUCCAAAAAUAUUUCAUGUUGCUUAAGUCUAACAUCUUAGGUCUAGAAUAUGUUCAUAAAGUAGCUGGACAAUUAGUUUUAUGACAUUUAUAAAGUCAUUUCUUAGGCUUCUGAUGGAUGUUUAUCUUGUUUGCAUUUAUACUAAUGCUUCUUAUUCUGUAUUGAAAAACAAAUUAUAAUUUACAUAAAAAAAUUGGUAUGG